AUGCCUUGGGAUCCUACUGCUCUCUGGCUUUCCCUGUGGGGCACCAGUGCUUUUGAAAACUUCGUUACAUUCCCAGUAACCCUCAUCAAUGCCUGUUACUAUGUCAUGGAUGGGAAGUGGUGGUCAAUGAAGUUCAACGAACAGUUUCCAACUUUUUAUUUCAAUAGUAGGAAGAAUAACUCCGGCUUCAAGUUGGAAAUGACCAGGCCCCAAGACGAAGUCUCGAUGAGAGGAAAGGUUAGUGAAUGGGCAGCAUGUGACGAGAGCUGGUGUGUGUGCCAGGUGAGGGCUGCUGGGGACACUUUUGCAAGUAGCUUUUUGGUGAGGACAAGAGCAGAUGCCCACUGACCUAACAAACACCCCAAACAAUAGAGCCCGGGCCCCCACCAGUAGACCAGACUAGUCUUUGCCUUCUUGCAGAUGGUCCAAUGAGUGACUGAGUCUGGGGAGCAGAUGGUGGUUUAGAUCACGUUAGGGCCAGGAGACUGGGGACAAGCAGAUGGAACCAAGAUAUAUGUUGGAGGCACCCUCAGCAGAAUUUGGCGAAGGUUUUUGAUGCCAGCAGUGGCAGGCAAGGGUGGGUACAUGGUGGUUGAGGAGGAGGAGGGGCAAGUCAGGGAGGACUCCCAAAAGUUUCUGGAUGGGGCUACUGUGUGGACCAAGGCACACGCAUCAAAAUUGAGAAGACUGGGAAAGGUUGGGUGAAAUAUGUACAGCCUAGUUUCAGAAAGCAGAGUUUGGGAUGCCUGGAGAAUCAUCCCGGUAGAAUGCCUGAGAACAGUAGCCAGUUGCAACUCUUACAAGAGAGGUCAGGGUGGAGACCCACCCGUGGCUUCUGUGAACCUAAUUUGGCUACCAUAAUGCUGUUUGGGUGAGAAAAUGGGGUUCAAAUUCAAAAUACCUGGUUAAACAAAUGCACUGUAGAGCAUAACUAUUUGGAAGCUGGGAGUAGCUGUGUACAUUUAUCCGAAGGGCCGAUUCGGGUUGUUAAGAGAUAGUAGUUUGGUGUAGUCAAAAAAGUAUGAGAUUAAAGAUCCUAAAAUACCAGUUCUUGACUCAGCUCCCAUCACUAAUAACCAGGUGUAACUAGAACAACUUACUGUCUUUGCCUGUUUCACACACUUUACUGUGACAUGAAAAGUAUAACAAGCCAUGAAGUUUACAGAAAUUAUCGUUUUAUUCAAGUUACAAUGAAAAUUUCUUAGCGGGAUAGCAGUGACAAAGUGGAUUGUUUCCCUUUUAGAUAGUUUUACUGUUCUCCCUUCUUAGCAAAAUACCACCUGCUUAUCUUUAAAAAAGAAAAGAAAAAGAAAAAAGAUAUAGAAAAACAGAAACGAGGAGAAAACCACCCACAUUUUCCCUACUCUGAGAAAAAAAUACUCUUAAUAGUUUGGAAUAUGUUCUGCAGGUAAUAUUUGCAUGGAAUUUUAAAAAUUAGAGAUCAUUUUAAAUGUGUAGAAAUAUACAGAGAAAUUCUGUAACAAUUACCAUAAACCAUGAGCCAUCAUUGAUCAAUCAGCAUUUUUUAAAGAUUUUAUUUAUUUAUUCAUGAGAGAGAGGGGAGGGGGCAGAGACACAGGCAGAGGGAGAAGCAGGCUCCAUGCAGGGAGCCCGACAUGGGACUCAGUUCCGGGACCCCAGGAUCAUGCCCUGGACUGAAGGUGGCCCUAAACCGCUCAGCCACCUGGGCUGCCCCAAUCUUAGCAUUUUGUAUUUGAUUUGGAUUCUUUCCUUUUGAAAUAGAAUGUAGAUACCAUUAAACCCUCCCACUCUUUUCAAUUCUUCCCCCUCCCUCCUAAAAUAAAACAACUAUGUGAAAUGGAAUUUCAUUGUUGUCUUUAACUUCAUUGGGUAACAAACUGAUUUUUUUUUUCACUUAUAGGUAAAUUGAUUGAAGAGUCUACCCUACUGAUUUGUCACAUUGAGCUUGUCAUAUACCAACUUGACAUCUAUCUAUGAAUUUCUUUCUGUGAUUGCUGAUUCUUUUAGGCUUGUUACCUCUAUAAUAAUAACACGAAAGUCUUAUUACUAAGUUUUUAAAUAAGUACUGGUAUAUAAUAGAGAAAGUCUCUCCAGUAUUUUUUUUCAAAGUUGCCAUAGCAAUUUUUUGCUCUUCAUGUUUCCAUAUGAAUUUUAUGAUCUCUGUCACAUACCACAAAAACCUGUGAUGGUAAUUUUUAAAAAUUGAGAUACAAUUGACAUGCCAUAAAUGUCACUCUUUUAAGGUGUAUGAUUCAGUGGUUUUUAGUGUACUCAUAAAGUUGUGCAGACAUCACUACUAUCUAGUUCUGGAAUAUUUUCAUCAUCCCAAAAAGAAACCCCACACCCAUUAGUAGUCAUCCCCCAUUUCUUCUCAUCCUUGCUCCUAAAAGCCACUAAUCUAUUUUUGUUUCCACAGAUUUGCUUGUUCUCUACAUUGCAUAUAAAUAGAAUCAUGCAUGUAGCCUUGUGUGUCUUGCCUAUUCCACUGAGCAUAACGUUUUCAAGGUUGAUCCACGUUAUAGUAUGAAUCAGUACUUCAGUCCUUUUGUAGGGCUGAAGAGCAUUCCAUGAUAUGGGUAUGCCACAUUUUGUUUAUCCCAUUCAUCAGUUGAUAGACAUUUGGGUUGUUUCUACUUUUUGGUUAUUAUGAAUAACCCUGCUGUGAACAUUUGUGUGCAAGUUUUUGUGUUGACACAUGUUCUCAUUUCUUCUGGAUCUGUACCUAGGAAUGAAAUUACUGGGGCAGAUGGUCACCAACCAGACAUAGGUAAGAACUUUAUGUUUAACCUUUUGAGAAGGUAGCAGACUGUUUGCCCAAGUGACUGCACCGUUUUACCUUCUUAGGUAGCGUGAAGUAGGUGUGAAAUGGUAACCUUUGUGGCAAUUCGAUUGAAAACGCAUUAGUUUCCGAAUUGAUUUGGCGAUAAUUAGCAUCUCCAUGUUGACUUUUUCAUCUACAACCCAAUAUGUAUAUUUGCAUUUGAUCGGAUCCUCUUUUAUACCCUUCCAGUCAUCUUGCUGAAUUGCUUUAUCAUUCAGGAACAAUGAUACCGUCUUAAAUAAUGGAAGUUUUGUCUCUUUCCAAUUAUUACACUUUUGCUUUUCUUGUCUAUAGUACUGGAUAAGACUUUGAAUUAGUGAUGAAUAGCACAGGUGUGAGAGUGGCAUUUUUUAAAAAGAUUUUAUUUAUUUAUUUAUUUAUUUAUUUAUUUAUUUAUUUAUGAGAGAU
rnacentral:lncRNA from 1 species